GUGGAAGAUCUAAUGAAACUGUUAUUUGACGAUUUUGAAGGAAUUCAGGUUUGCUAUGUUUCCCGAAAACAAACCACAUCACAGUCUACAGAAACUCUCCAACCUGCGGAAGCAUAUUGAGGGAAGAUGGUGAGAUGUUGCUGAUGUUGGACACACAGAUGUUGCUUGCUGGACACACAGAGGAGUGGACAGUCUGCUGAUGGAUGAUUUUUGUGUUAUGAUGUAAUUAUUAGAGAUGAACUGAG